GGAAAGCCAGCGCACUUACCUGCUGGAAGUCCGGAGUCGAGUGGCUGGAUGAAGGAGAGAGGCAACGUCGGCUAACCACUCACCUUUCAUCCGGAGAGCUGCUGCAAUUCCAACGCCAGUGUGUGUUGGGCUUUUGUGAAACAGAGCAACGGUGAGCAACAUGUUCUUAGCUGCUCUAAAGCUAAUUUUUGUCAGUUCACUGUGAGUUUAAAGUAAUCUAGAGGGUAAUUUUUAGUGCAUUUCUCUCUCACGAAUAGGCCUAUAGCGUGGAGAAAUUAAGCACACUGCUUUAAUGCCUCUGAACUGAACUCAUAUGUAUAUUUUGUUGCUUAUUUGCACAUAGUUCUGAAUUUGUUAUGGUGUAUUGUAUUUUGAGUGUCAAUGGUUACUUACCAUAAGUAUUGUUUAAUUAAUGUUUACAUGAAUAGAGAAAUAUUUGAGCAACUUAGAUGUUUAGUUCUCAUAUUUGAUAUGCUUGAAAAUUGAAUGUUGUACAACAGAACUGUGAGAUUUGAUAAGAUUUAAGAUGUUGAUGCAAUGAAUAUGAGGUGAUGCAAUAUUUUGAUUUUGUAUUUUAACCUUAAACAAUGCAUCUGAAACAGACUGAUUAGAAUGUACAUUUUAUGACCUGGAUUAUAGGUCAGGUUUUUUGGAGAGGACGGAAAAGUCCAAGGACCAGGACGAUAUUCUGGUUGUGAUAGAUGGCGAGCCAACCACUUUGAGGACGAUCUACCCCAAAGAAGAUACACACCACACACUCAUACAUUCCAGUUACAUUCACAAGGACCUUUGAAGUUGGCUAUCGCCAGCUUAACUCUAAAUUCUUAAAGGGCCCCAACGAGUACUUUUAUUUUGUUGAGUGUGCACACUAUUUAUUUUAUUUUAUACUUUAUCUGUACAAAUUGGACAAAUACCUGUUAUACUUUGUAACAAUACAAGAGUGGCUACUCAAAAGUUAA